rnacentral:tRNA from 1 species
GCCCAGGUGGUGAAAUUGGUAGACACAGCGGACUUAAAAUCCGCCGCUUACCUGAAUAAGGGGCGUGCCGGUUCGAUUCCGGCCCUGGGCACCA